GUCUGUACCAGCUUUUCUAGUACCACCAAGAGUUGGGAAGUGGUGGUCCAGGCCUGCUAAAUCGAGAAAGGUGAAUGAUGAUUCAACAAAACCACCUGGGGACAGAAUGAAGUGGAGAUCUUAUUGCAGUGCCCUUAAACACUUCUACAGAGAACAGGCAAACAAUGGUGAAAUAGCAAACAAGGUUUCUCAUAAGACUGCAGAGUGUGCUGGAAAGACCAGGUGAGAAUAAGGUAUGUCUGCAAGCCAGAAAAGAGGUCUUACCAGAAAGUGAGCUCUGCCAGAACCUUGAUCUUGGACUUUACAGCAUCCAGAAUGAUGGGAAAAUAAAUCUCUGUUAUU